rnacentral:rRNA from 1 species
ACGCUCGACACCUACUGGAGGCAGCAGUGGGGAAUAUUGGGCAAUGGGCGCAAGCCUGACCCAGCAACGCCGCGUGAAGGAAGAAGGCUUUCGGGUUGUAAACUUCUUUGUCAGGGAACAGUAGAAGAGGGUACCUGACGAAUAAGCCACGGCUAACUACGUGUCAGCAGCCGCGGUAAUCUGAGCGGGCUGGCAAGGC